rnacentral:rRNA from 1 species
UACGUAGGGCGCAAGCGUUGUCCGGAAUUAUUGGGCGUAAAGAGCUCGUAGGCGGUUUGUCGCGUCUGCUGUGAAAGCCCGGGGCUCAACCCCGGGUCUGCAGUGGGUACGGGCAGACUAGAGUGCAGUAGGGGAGACUGGAAUUCCUGGUGUAGGCGGUGAAAUGCGCAGAUAUCAGGAGGAACACCGAUGGCGAAGGCAGGUCUCUGGGCGUGUUUACUGCGCUGGAGGAGCGAAAGCAUGGGGAGCGAACAGGAAUUAGAUACCCCGGGUAGUC